rnacentral:rRNA from 1 species
GACGAACGCUGGCGGCGUGCUUAACACAUGCAAGUCGAACGGAAAGGCCCUGCUUUUGUGGGGUGCUCGAGUGGCGAACGGGUGAGUAACACGUGAGUAACCUGCCCUUGACUUUGGGAUAACUUCAGGAAACUGGGGCUAAUACCGGAUAGGAGCUCCUGCUGCAUGGUGGGGGUUGGAAAGUUUCGGCGGUUGGGGAUGCACUCGCGGCUUAUCAGCUUGUUGGUGGGGUAGUGGCUUACCAAGGCUUUGACGGGUAGCCGGCCUGGGAGGGUGACCGGCCACAUUGGGACUGAGAUACGGCCCAGACUCCUACGGGAGGCAGCAGUGGGGAAUAUUGCACAAUGGGCGGAAGCCUGAUGCAGCAACGCCGCGUGCGGGAUGACGGCCUUCGGGUUGUAAACCGCUUUCGCCUGUGACGAAGCGUGAGUGACGGUAAUGGGUAAAGAAGCACCGGCUAACUACGUG